AAGUCGAACGGGAAAUACUUUAUUGAAACUUCGGCGGAUUUAAUUUAUUUCUAGUGGCGGACGGGUGAGUAACGCGUGGGUAACCUGCCUUAUACUGGGGGAUAACAGCCAGAAAUGGCUGCUAAUACCGCAUAAGCGCACAGAACCGCAUGGUUCGGUGUGAAAAACUCCGGUGGUAUAAGAUGGACCCGCGUUGGAUUAGCUAGUUGGCAGGGCAGCGGCCUACCAAGGCGACGAUCCAUAGCCGGCCUGAGAGAGUGAACGGCCACAUUGGGACUGAGACACGGCCCAGACUCCUACGGGAGGCAGCAGUGGGGAAUAUUGCACAAUGGGGGAAACCCUGAUGCAGCGACGCCGCGUGAAGGAAGAAGUAUCUCGGUAUGUAAACUUCUAUCAGCAGGGAAGAUAAUGACGGUACCUGACUAAGAAGCCCCGGCUAACUACGUGCCAGCAGCCGCGGUAAUACGUAGGGGGCAAGCGUUAUCCGGAUUUACUGGGUGUAAAGGGAGCGUAGACGGCACAGCAAGUCUGAUGUGAAAGGCAGGGGCUUAACCCCUGGACUGCAUUGGAAACUGCUGUGCUUGAGUGCCGGAGGGGUAAGCGGAAUUCCUAGUGUAGCGGUGAAAUGCGUAGAUAUUAGGAGGAACACCAGUGGCGAAGGCGGCUUACU
rnacentral:rRNA from 1 species